GAAGUCAAAUGAGUCAAAUUAUAUUGAAAUUCCCAGUACAAAACCGUAACUGUUUCGUAAUGAAAUUACCGUGAAAUAAAAUCAUAUGACUCGUGUAAAUAAGAUUAAUAAUUAUUUUUAGCAGUGAGUGAUAUAAAUUAGAUUUAUCGAUAUGUUCGGUAUACAUAUUGUGAAGAAACUACAGUUUCAAACAAAUUCGAAAAGUAGAUUGAGGUAAAUGACAUACUACGAUCAAUGGUGCUUAAAUCGGACUAACUUAUAACCAAGAAUUAGUGUUUCAGUUAAGGUUAAAAAACUGAGUGGCGCCCCAUUUGGAACUCAAAAGCAUACCAAAUUUCUGUACAUAUUAAACACAGCAAAAUCUUGCAACAAACCCCGACAACACACAUUAACAUGAUGAGCUUAGUCGGAGCCCAAAAUGCGACCUUUAGGUUACAAGCUCUGUGUACACUGUGAUAUACUAUGAUUACGAAGUCGGUUCAAAUAAACAACGUCUUGAACAGUUACAACGUGCAUUUAGUGACGAAAUUCCUUCAAGAGCAACUGUGUUUCUCUGGUAUAGCGAAAUUAUAACAAGACGAAUAUUACUUGAUAUUGAGGUACGUGCUGGUAGUCCCUGUUUUUCAGUUACUGUUGAUAGCAUUGAGAGAGUGAGACUUAUGAUCGGAAAAGAUCCAAAAUGCAUCUAUCAAGCGAUUGAAGCAACUCUUGAGAUUGGAUGCGCAAUAGUAAUUUCAAUUUUGCAUGAUCAACUUCGUGUGACAGAAGUUCAUCGUCGCACAGAAUUAGUAAAAUUGAAUAAGCUUGAAGAUCAACGUGAACGACAAGAUUUUCGCCUGCACAUACAGUGAAAAUUUGCAUAUUGCAUCGAGAUAAUGCAUCGUCAAACACUGCAUAGGAGACAGCUGACUUUUCAAGUGAAAACAACAAUCAUUAUUCUCUAAUCCGAAAAAGCUUUUACGUUAACGAUAAGGGAUGAAAUAGAUGAAGCAAUUCAUCAAUUUUUUGAAGCAUUUCAAAAGAUGACUGGCUUCAAACUUUUGUACUGAUGUAGGUGGUGAUUAUUUCUAGCAUAAUUUUAAUCAUAUAUGUCUAUUCACCUAAUUCUUACACUAUAAUUUCUUAUAUAUUUUUUGGGGAAAUUCUAAAUUAAAAUGUAGAAAAAAAGAUUUUAUACAAUAUAGUGCUGUUCAUAAAAACCUAGUCUAGGACUAAAUGUAUGUAUAUCUAUUCUCAAUUGAUAUUUAUUGAUCGUUAUUAUGAAGUUUAUUAUCAUUGUAAUUUCACAACAAUGAAUAAAUAACUUUCAGAGUAAUGAUGGUUGGUAACGCGAAGCAAUCGGAAAAAAAUAUGAACAAACGCUUCAUUAAUAUUCUAUUCACUAUUAUUAUACAUAGUACAUCUAUAUUUAUUCGUACGAGCAUUUCGAUGCGACAUCCGUAUAAAAUAACGAAACAAAACAGUCUCGUUAUCAUUCAACGUAUGCACGUACCGAAUGCCAUUUUAGGCGUUGGGUUUUAAUCGCAUCGUUAAAAUCCAAUUAUUACCAUCUCAUUCACUCACGGGUAGGUAGUCUCUAUAUUUAUUUUGCCAAAGAUUGAACUUCAAUAAAAACGUUUUUGUUCAUUAAAACAUUUAUAUUAGAAAAUAUAUAUAAUGCGGUCCAUAUGUAUUGAAUCAAUUCAAUUUUAGCGUUAUUAGGUGCUAUGUGGAAAAAACCUGAAACAGGUCAAUAUUUAUUCUUAAAUUGACAGUUUACUGUAAUAUUAUUCCGCUCUAGCACCACCUCUGAAUUAUAAGCACCCCCUGGAAAAUUUUAAAUAAGGAAAGUCCACUGUUUAGCAAUAGGAUUUUUUUUUAAUUUGGUGCAAUCAUAACUGAAAAAAUUUAGUUUUAAGAUGUAAAAUUCUGAUAAUGUCUCUAUCACAAAACUUUACGUACAAUGAAGAUAAUAAUGUAGCAUAAUAUUUAAAAUGUAUUUUUCAAUUCUUGACAAUAAUCGAGGCGAUUUUGGAAUUCUCACACAUUUUAUAUGCGUUAUUUUGUUAAUUUCUUCCGUUAUCCUUUUAAAUCAGCAAUAUUGUCUGGCCUUUUAAAAUAUACUUCAGAUAUCAAAUAACCUCAUAAGAGGUAAUCGAGAGGAGUCAAAUCGGGGAGUCUAGCCGGCCAUUCGAUCGUUCCAAUCCACCUAUUGGGAAAAACCUCGUUUAAAUAAUCUCUUACAAUCGCCACUACUUUGAAGUAAUGGCUCUAAAUUAUUCAAAGUAUUAGAACAACUAAAACGCUUGAAUUGGAUUUAAACAAAAAAGACAAGUAAACAAGAAAGAAGCAAUUCAUUUGUGAAUGUAGAAAAGCUUGAAACAAAAUAUUUGAAAAACCUGAAGGAAAAUAGAAAAGGAAAUAUAGUGAUAGCUGAAGUUCGAAAGAAAAUACUUAAAGCAAUAGAAAUGAGAUGGCAAUACACUGCAACGCACUUGGGUUUAGUUUUGUAUUGAGAGAAGUUGAAUAGAAGUUUCUAUAUGAAUUUUGACUUUUUCUAAAAUGAAUCUAUUAACCCUCUUUCUCCUUUCAAAGCCUUGAAAAAUUUAACCUCGAUACAAUACUAACAAAGCCUUAAAAAAAAACCAAUUAAUAUUAUUCAGUUGUAUCAGAAAAUGAGAUUGGAAAGACAUUAUAAAAAUCAUAUUGGAAGCAUAUACACUGAAGAACAAAUAAAAAAAUGGAUAAAUAAAGCGGUAAAAUAGAAAUAAGAGGAAAAAUUGUAACAAAACAGGUAAUAAGAAAUGAUUUAAUAAGUAUUUACCACUUAAUAGACACAAUUACAUCAUUCAAACUGAUGAUUAGGUUUAAUUCAAUUAAACACAUUUGUUUCAUGCAGUCAGGCUACUAGCAAGCAAAUAUCGAUUUUUAAUAAUUUAUUCCAUUCAAUUUAGACCGAAAAAUUGAAUGAGAUUUUAAAUUUGAGAUUUUUCACUUUCUUUAUAUCCAUGUUAUAGGAACAAUAAAAACAUGGAAAUCACAAUUUUUCCAAAGAAAAAUUGAUAAUUUAAAAUGUAACUUUUUUCUUAUACAAAUUUUAUUUUGUUAUAUUUUGCAUUUCACAUCACUUUUUACACUGUUUCAAGUGAUAUAUUUUUCAUAUUUGAAGUUUGUAAAAGUGAAUGUUUUUUUAUUAUAUGGUAUUCAAUAUAUUUUUUAAUACUAA